rnacentral:tRNA from 1 species
UCCCUGAUGGCUCAGUUGGUUAAGCAUCUGUCUACAAUGCAGGAGACCCAGGUUCGACCCCUGGGUUGGAAA